CACGUAGGCACCAAGCGUUGUCCGGAUUUAUUGGGCGUAAAGAGCUCGUAGGCGGUUCGGUAAGUCGGGUGUGAAAACUUUGGGCUUAACCCAAAGCGUGCAUCCUAUACUGCUGUGACUUGAGUUCGGUAGGGGAGUGGGGAAUUCCUAGUGUAGCGGUGAAAUGCGCAGAUAUUAGGAGGAACACCGGUGGCGAAGGCGCCACUCUGGGCCGAAACUGACGCUGAGGAGCGAAAGCAUGGGUAGCAAACAGG
rnacentral:rRNA from 1 species